rnacentral:rRNA from 1 species
GGGCCCGCACAAGCGGUGGAGCAUGUGGCUUAAUUCGAGGCAACGCGAAGAACCUUACCUGGUCUUGACAUGCCCGUCAUAGUUUUCCGAAAGGAAUUCGUCAGUUCGGCUGGACGGUGCACAGGUGCUGCAUGGCUGUCGUCAGCUCGUGUCGUGAGAUGUUCGGUUAAGUCCGGCAACGAGCGCAACCCUCGUUCCUAGUUGCCAGCGGGUAAUGCCGGGGACUCUAGGAAGACAAACCUCGUGUAGAGGUGGGAAGGUGGGGACGACGUCAAGUCAGUAUGGCCCUUACGACCAGGGCUGCACACGUGCUACAAUGCUUGGUACAAUGGGAUGCAACACCGCGAGGUUGAGCUAAUCCACAAACCAAGCCCAGUUCGGAUUGGAGUCUGCAACUCGACUCCAUGAAGUUGGAAUCGCUAGUAAUGGC